UACAGGUUUUAACUGGAGUCAAUUUACUGGUCUUCCCACUGUUUUAAUUUGUCUAUAAAGUGUUUACCAGUCUACCUGUCAUUCUACCUCCGGCCUACCCUCAACCUGGCCAAAAUUCCUAAUCAAGCCAGGUUGUUAUUGCCCAUACAUACAAGGUUUUUGUUGUUCAGCCUCCAGCCUGCCCACCUUUGUCACUGAUCCAACUCCCUCUGCAUUACCAUUCCUCCCCCUACAUUGUUGUCUCACCCCCUCCAUGUCACCAAUUUGGUCCUACUCCCACUCCCUAAGCUUGAGCAAGAAUCUUUCUAAAAAAAAAAAUUACGGGGGGGGGCAAUCAUAAUGAGGGGAUAUUAGGCCUAUUAUAAAGAUAGGAACAGAUGACUUACCUCAAUGUAUCAUGUUUAUGUUUUGAAUGCUUUACUUUAAAAUUUAUUUUAGCUGCACAAUCCAUACAAAUAUCAUUAGAUCAGUUUUGUGCCACAGAAUCAGUACAGCAUUAUUUUUUUCAUCCAUCUGUAAGACAUUCCAUCUAGCUUGGAAUAUUGCUAGUCAGUUUAGUUUUACAUAAUUCAUUCUGUAAAAAAACUGGUUCUGCUUUAUGGAUGUUAUACAUUUGUGAGAUAGAAUGCUUGUUAUAACAGAAUGUACAAAACAAAUAUUUCUUUUGUACAUUUGUUACCAGUGUAUAUGGCCACACAUUUUUUUCUGUGUAAUGAGGAUUGUUCUUUGUAUACAGAAUAUAUUUUUGUAGACAAAAUGUAUUGACACCCAAUAGAAAAAUUCACAGAAAAGGUGAAAAAUUUGCGAAACUUUUUUGAAGUAACUUUUUGAGGUAACUUUUUUUGCAGCAACCACAACUUCUUCCUCACUCUGCAGAAAAAUUUUGCGGCAGUUUUGUGAAAAAAUUCACCAAUGCCGAAAUGUGUAAUUUUGCUGUGAAUCCAUGCCUGCCAAAAAAAUUUCCGCAUCACUAGCAACAGGCUUUUAGCUGCAAAGACAUAUAAAAUGGCUGCGCAUUAUAUUCUAAAUUGGGCACAAUAUAAGACGAGAAUUAGAAAGGUAGCCAUAUUAGCUAGUUAAUUGGUAUAUGCAGUUAUACAGCCUUAUGGCCUAGUUGCCCCUUGAGUACUUACUGGCAAUAUGUCCCAUUCCUUAUGCUAUUAGCCCCAUAACAAAUCUUAUUUUGCAUUUGGGCCAUUUUUCUAUCUCACUGCCCCAUAUUAAAUAUAUCCUAUGGCGGGGAGGCAAUUAUCAAUGCUGGAAAGUAAUCAAAGGUGUCCAUUUACAUUUUUGCUUUCAUAGUUCAGCUGGCUAAACAGAGCAAACUGACGGUUUACUAAGGGUUACUGCCACGGUGCAAUCUUGCCCAGCUGUAUUUUCACAGGCACUCCUACUUACUAUGGACACAGGGCCUGAUUUAUAUUUUUUACUAUUGGGCCGGGUAAAUUUAAAUUAGUGGUUCUGAAAUUAAAGUGAUGCUCCUUAGGGGGUUCACUCAGUAGCAUUAAAGCUAAACAUUUUUUCAAAAAAUGAAUUUUAACAUUUUGAGAGUCACUGACUGUGCCUUUAGGCCACCGAGUGGGAUGAGGAUGUUGUCAUUUAACAAAAUGUAUUGGUUUCUUUUGUAGAAAGCUGUCUGCACAGCAUCCAACUUCUGUCACUGCUUUCUUUUAUACAUAUAGGUGGGAGCUGCCAUACAAUUUGCCUUUGUGACGAUAUAGCAACCAAAAGGCUAUCAAAACUAUGGCAGUUCUGUAGCAGUGCGCACUUGUGUGUAUUACGGUUGAAGUGGAGAGUGCCUCAGUCCAGCACAGUAUGCCUACCUUACUGAUAAUGCUCUGCCUAACUAUAUAAAAUGUCCAAUAAUUACAGACCUUUCACCAAACACAUCUUACUGUACAUACUGAUUUAUAGAUCCAUUUCUUACAAUUCUGCUUUCUUUUAUGUUUCAGGAACUAAGGGAAGAGCUGAAAGGACUGGCCUUCUCCUGUGCAGCAAUGUAAUUUUGUCCAUAAGAUUCUUUAUCUUGUGGAGCUCAAAUCAAGGACGUUGCCCUCCCUGCCCCUCACCACAAGGGGGCUGUAGGCCUUGCCCUCCUGUCUGCCCACCCUGUGUGCCAGUCAUAUGUCCUCCUCCACCCCCUCCUGUGGUUUGCUAUCCAGUUGGGUGCCAGUCCGUACCACAGGUGCCUAUAAUACCUCAAUGCCCCCCUCAAUACCCAUAUGGCUGUGGCCCACCUUGCUAACACAAGAAGCACAAAUACCAUCAACAGUCAUGCAAAGCAAGGCCAUGGUUCCAGCUUUGACUGAUGGGUGAUCUGUGGAUUAAGAUGGAUGCAUUCAAAUGUUAAUUUCUUUCUGCUUUAGGACAUACCAUCACAUAUAACCCCAUAUAAUGCAAUGCAUAUAAUAUCAAUUGUAGUAAUGUACCUGCCCUGCCUAUCUUACUUACUUAUUGUAUAC